CUUCCUCACCCUCAUUGAACUUCCCCCACCUUCACCCUCACCCUCAAAAUUUGUUACGCUUCGUCACCCUCAAUGUCCAAAUAUUGGAUUAGUAUUUCAACUCCACUGUCACUCGUUAAAAUUCUGUUGCAAACCCAUGACCUUCAUCACGAUAACGCACAGAAACCAUUACACCGCCACAAGUCUAACACCAUGGGAGUUGGUAAACACAACCUCUAAAAUGCCUUUUCCCUCAUACAUCCUUUGUUCGGCGGGAAAAGGAAGCAUGAGAUUGAGCUAUGAGAGACUGAAGAAUCUCAUUCUCACGAGUCCUCCGCCAUGGUUGGGUUUAUCAAACUCAAAUUUUGUUUAUACUUCUCAUAUAUGAUUCUUCUUCUACUAAUUUGUUGUGCUUUAUUUAUUUUCAUUUGAGAAUUUUUAGGUUUUCAUAUGAUUCUCGUAUCUAGGUUUACCGCAUAAUCUUUCAUGCUCAUAUUCCUCUAUGGUUUUAACAAGGGUGGUGUUACUCUACAUGGAUGGCGGAGUUGUUUCCUUAUCUCUCGCCUUUCAGAAUUUGAACCAACUACUAUUUUCUGAGCGACUCACAACACUUAUAUGAGGUGAUUCUCUUGUGUUUUUGGAAACGCCAUGCUGAUUAAUUAACUAAACAACGAUUUAUCUUCUUGUAUAGUUGUUUGUUUUCUUGUUGAAUGAGGUUUACCUUCUUAUAAAGUUCCACACUUUCCUGGUGAAUUAUAUUCCCUUGUAUUUGGAGAAAUGAAAACACAAAUUUAAGUGAGUAUUGUGAAGUUUUUGAGAGGAAAGUAAGUGAAAGGUCACUGCUGAGAUGUUCUCCUGCCAAAUUUGAUUAAAAAGGUUAAUUGCUUUCUGGUUUUA